GUACACUCCUACGGGAGGCAGCAGUGGGGAAUUUUGGACAAUGGGCGAAAGCCUGAUCCAGCAAUGCCGCGUGAGUGAAGAAGGCCUUCGGGUUGUAAAGCUCUUUUGUCAGGGAAGAAACGGUGAGAGCUAAUAUCUUUUGCUAAUGACGGUACCUGAAGAAUAAGCACCGGCUAACUACGUGCCAGCAGCCGCGGUAAUACGUAGGGUGCAAGCGUUAAUCGGAAUUACUGGGCGUAAAGCGUGCGCAGGCGGUUUUGUAAGUCUGAUGUGAAAUCCCCGGGCUCAACCUGGGAAUUGCAUUGGAGACUGCAAGGCUAGAAUCUGGCAGAGGGGGGUAGAAUUCCACGUGUAGCAGUGAAAUGCGUAGAUAUGUGGAGGAACACCGAUGGCGAAGGCAGCCCCCUGGGUCAAGAUUGACGCUCAUGCACGAAAGCGUGGGGAGCAAACAGGAUUAGAAACCCGGGUAGUCCCAUGA
rnacentral:rRNA from 1 species